rnacentral:rRNA from 1 species
GCGCACGGGUGAGUAUCGCGUUUGCAAUUUACCUCUAACUGGAGGAUAGCCCGAAGAAAUUCGGAUUAAUACUCCAUAAUGUCAUUUAAUCGCAUGAUUUUAUGAUUAAAGCUACGGCGGUUAGAGAUGAGCAUGCGUGUCAUUAGCUAGUUGGUGAGGUAACGGCUCACCAAGGCUGCGAUGACUAGGGGUUCUGAGAGGAUGAUCCCCCAAACUGGUACUGAGACACGGACCAGACUCCUACGGGAGGCAGCAGUGAGGAAUAUUGGGCAAUGGGCGCAAGCCUGACCCAGCCAUGCCGCGUGCAGGAUGACUGCCCUAUGGGUUGUAAACUGCUUUUAUACGGGAAGAAUGGUUCCUACGUGUAGGAAUUUUGACGGUACCCGUAAAGACUAAGCAACCGGCCUAACUCCGUUGCAGAAGCCGCGGUAAUACCGGAGGAGCCAAACCGUAAUCCGGAUUCAUUGGGUUUAAAGGGUGCGCAGGAGGAGUAUCAAGUCAGUGGGCGAAAUCCUGCAGCGUAACUCGUAGAACUGCCAUAGAUACUGAUAUUCUCGAAAAUACUUGAGGUGGGCAGAAUGUGGUAAUGUAGCGGUUAAAUGCUUAGAUACUACCACAGGACACCGAUUGCGAAGGCAGCUCACUAAACUAAUAUUGACGCUGAGGCACGAAAGCCGUGGGGAACGAACAGGAUUAGAUACCCUGGUAGUCCACGCUGUAAACUAUGAUCACUCGCUGUUGGCAAUACAUCGUCAGCGGCUGAGCGAAAGCAUUAAGUGAUCCACCUGGGGAUUACGAUCGCAAGAUUGAAACUCAAAGGAAUUGACGGGGGCCCGCACAAGCGGAGGAACAUGUGGUUUAAUUCGAUGAUACGCGAGGAACCUUACCUGGGCUUAAAUGCAUAUCGACGUUUCGGGAAGCCGGAAUUCCAUAGGGCGAACUGCAAGGUGCUGCAUGGCUGUCGUCAGCUCGUGCCGUGAGGUGUCGGGUUAAGUCCCAUAACGAGCGCAACCCUUAUCGUUAGUUGCCAGCGGGUAAUGCCGGGGACUCUAACGAAACUGCCGGUGUAAACCGUGAGGAAGGUGGGGAUGACGUCAAGUCAGCACGGCCCUUAUGUCCAGGGCUACACACGUGUUACAAUGGCCGAUACAAAGGGCAGCUACCAUGCAAAUGGAUGCUAAUCUCGAAAAUCGGUCUUAGUUCGGAUUGAAGUCUGCAACUCGACUUCAUGAAGCUGGAUUCGCUAGUAAUCGCGUAUCAGCCAUGGCGCGGUGAAUACGUUCCCGGGCCUUGUACACACCGCCCGUCAAGCCAUGGAAGCUUGGGUACCUGAAGUCCGUAACCGCA